AUAUGGAAAGCGAAUAAUGUUGCAUAUGGUUUCGGCCCAUAUUUUAGGGGUAAUUAAAUCCUCUUCCAUAUA
rnacentral:tRNA from 1 species